GCCAGGUUUCAUCAAACAGCGGACUUGUUUUGUGUAUUUUCUCAAAUUGCAGACUGGUUGUAGCAUACAAGAGUCCUCACCUAGAUGUCGAAGUUGUCUCUUGUUUCUCGUCAGACACAAAGCGGACUCUGACACUCAGAUCUCCCUAAUAUAGUUACCAUCAUCGAGGAUGACUGGCUGUCAAUCUUUUGGUAUUGUUUGUGUUACCAACGUACGAAUGGGAGUUUAUUCGUGUAGAGGGCUGUGAGUGGCAUUGAUUCCGGACAUUACUACAAUGCAGAAGCAUUCAUCACUGUGUAUAGGAACAUUGAGCCAUUCACCAUGUUAUGGCUAUUCAGGGAAUCAGUGCCUGUGUGAAUGUUAUUGAAUUGUCAGAAUAUACAAAAUAAAAUACCCCGCUUGUUGGCACACCUA